rnacentral:rRNA from 1 species
UACGGGGGGGGCAAGCGUUGUUCGGAAUUACUGGGCGUAAAGGGCUCGUAGGCGGCCAACUAAGUCGGAUGUGAAAUCCCCAGGCUUAACCUGGGAACUGCAUCCGAUACUGGAUGGCUUGAAUUCGGGAGAGGGAUGCAGAAUUCCAGGUGUAGCGGUGAAAUGCGUAGAUAUCUGGAGGAAUACCUGUGGCGAAGGCGGCCUACUGGGCCGGACCUGACGCUGAGACGCGAAGGCGUGGGGAGCGAACGGG